rnacentral:lncRNA from 1 species
AAUGGAAUACGAAUUUUCAUGUUAAACUCUGACACGAAAAAUUGACGAAUCAGCCAACUCAGAAAGCGAGUAGAGGACUCAAAGAAGCGGCCGCACAGGACACCGGCGCAGGCUGCCGCAUCGCAGGACGUGCUGGUCCCGGAGCACCCUGCGCGGGCGGCCCCGCUCUCACCCAAGCUUUCCCCAGAAGGAGAUGGGACUACGUAAUAAUAAUGGGAAGACGCCCCGCGCCUCCCUGUGCCACCAGUACUCUGCAGCUUUACACCUGAGGUCGCUACCUGGAGAAUUUUUGCCAGGACUAGCGUUAGGGCCCCUCCCCUCUCUCUCCCUCUGACUCUGGACACCUGAGCGAUGUGGACUAGCUGGGCCGGAUUAGAAAGAUCGGGGACUUGUUCUCUCCAGGGGCGUCACUUGGAAGUAAUGGAGGUUUUUGACAGUGAACUUGUUGAAAGGAGGGAGGAAGCGCACCUGGAGAACGGGCAAGAGUUCCCUGGACUCUUAAUUUGUAAAGUCAAGCGUUUUGGAAGGGUACACAGAAGAGGAAACCUAUCCCUUAAUCCUAAACCUUCAGUUCCCACUGGAACACACACAACAUUUUCUCAGAUUUCUUUCCCAAUACAAACAUUGCAGGUUACGUUUUUAUUUAUAAUAGAAAUUGUCAUCCAUUCAAGAAUUUAUGAAUUGUCUGUUUUAAGAAUUUUUUCAAACUGUUUUUGAAGUUUAAUUGACCAAAAUUAUAUAUAUUUGUGAUGGACAGUAUGAUGUUUUGAUGUAGGUACGCGCUGUGAUGUGAUUACCUCAAACUAACACAUCCAUCGCCUCAUAGUUAUUUGUGUAAUGAGAAAUGAUAAGUUCUCUCUUAGCAUGUUAUUAAAUAUAGUCACUAUGCUGCACACUAUAGCUCUAGAAUUUAUUCCUCUGGCCUAAAUGAAACUUUGUUUCCUUUAACUAAAACCUCUCUAUUCCUUUUUCCCCUGGCAAACAUCAUUCUAGUUUCUGCCUCUGCAGAUUCUACUUUUUUAGAUUCUAAACUAUGAAGUAUUUGUGUUUCUGUGUCUGGCUUAUUUCACUUAGCAUAAUGUCUUCCAAGUUUGUCUAUGCUGACAUAAAUGACACAAUUUCCUUUUUAAGGCUGAAUAAUAUUCCAUUGUGUAUGUGUGUGUGUACAUAUAUAUUACAUUUUCUUUUUUCCCAGAGAAAAAAAAAUUUUGACUUCUCUCUCAUAUCUUCAUGCAUCACCUUCUCAGGGGCUGCCCACAGGAAUUCUGACCCUGCU